rnacentral:rRNA from 1 species
UACGGAGGGUGCAAGCGUUAUCCGGAAUCACUGGGUUUAAAGGGUGCGUAGGCGGCAUAAUAAGUCAGAGGUGAAAGGCUAGAGCUUAACUGUAGAACUGCCUUUGAUACUGUUAUGCUUGAAUUAGGACGAGGUCAGCGGAAUGAGUCAUGUAGCGGUGAAAUGCAUAGAUAUGACUUAGAACACCGAUUGCGAAGGCAGCUGUCUAGACCUAUAUUGACGCUGAGGCACGAAAGCGUGGGGAGCGAACAGG